rnacentral:tRNA from 1 species
GCCACCUUAGCUCAAUUGGUAGAGCAGGCCAUUCGUAAUGGUCAGGUUUCCAGUUCAAGUCUGGAAGGUGGCU